AACGAACGUUGGCGGCGUGGAUUAGGCAUGCAAGUCGAGGGAAUCCCAGCAAUGGGGGAACCGGCGUAAGGGGCAGUAAGGCGUGGGUACCUACCCCGGGGUUCGGGAUAGCCGUCCGAGAGGGCGGGUAAUACCGGAUGACCUGGUGACAGCAAAGAUUGAUCGCCCUGGGAGGGGCCCACGUGAUAUUACCUAGUUGGCGGGGUAACGGCCCACCAAGGGGAAGAUGUCUAGCGGGUGUGAGAGCACGACCCGCGCCACUGGCACUGAGACACUGGCCAGACACCUACGGGUGGCUGCAGUCGAGGAUCUUCGGCAAUGGGCGCAAGCCUGACCGAGCGACGCCGCGUGGGCGAUGAAGGCCUUCGGGUUGUAAAGCCCUGUCGGGGAGGAGAAAAGGGUAAAACCUUGAUCUAUUCCCGGAGGAAGCACGGGCUAAGUUCGUGCCAGCCGCCGCCGUAAGAC
rnacentral:rRNA from 1 species